rnacentral:rRNA from 1 species
GGACCCGCACAAGCGGUGGAUGAUGUGGUUUAAUUCGAUGCAACGCGAAAAACCUUACCCACCUUUGACAUGUACGGAAUCCUUUAGAGAUAGAGGAGUGCUCGAAAGAGAGCCGUAACACAGGUGCUGCAUGGCUGUCGUCAGCUCGUGUCGUGAGAUGUUGGGUUAAGUCCCGCAACGAGCGCAACCCUUGUCAUUAGUUGCUACAUUCAGUUGGGCACUCUAAUGAGACUGCCGGUGACAAACCGGAGGAAGGUGGGGAUGACGUCAAGUCCUCAUGGCCCUUAUAGGUGGGGCUACACACGUCAUACAAUGGCUGGUACAGAGGGUUGCCAACCCGCGAGGGGGAGCUAAUCCCAUAAAGCCAGUCGUAGUCCGGAUCGCAGUCUGCAACUCGACUGCGUGAAGUCGGAAUCGCUAGUAAUCGC